rnacentral:rRNA from 1 species
AACGAACGCUGGCGGCAGGCUUAACACAUGCAAGUCGAGCGCCUCGCAAGAGGAGCGGCAGACGGGUGAGUAACGCGUGGGAAUCUACCCAUCUCUACGGAAUAACUCAGGGAAACUUGUGCUAAUACCGUAUACGCCCUUAGGGGGAAAGAUUUAUCGGAGAUGGAUGAGCCCGCGUUGGAUUAGCUAGUUGGUGGGGUAAAGGCCUACCAAGGCGACGAUCCAUAGCUGGUCUGAGAGGAUGAUCAGCCACAUUGGGACUGAGACACGGCCCAAACUCCUACGGGAGGCAGCAGUGGGGAAUAUUGGACAAUGGGCGCAAGCCUGAUCCAGCCAUGCCGCGUGAGUGAUGAAGGCCCUAGGGUUGUAAAGCUCUUUCACCGGAGAAGAUAAUGACGGUAUCCGGAGAAGAAGCCCCGGCUAACUUCGUGCCAGCAGCCGCCGUAA